rnacentral:antisense_RNA from 1 species
CAUGGAAGUCUCCAAGCCUGUGCCAUCCACCUGCCAAGGAAAAGCACAAGCAUACAGUUUGAACAUUUAUUCGCCUCCUGAGCUUGUACAACAGUCGUGGGAGUUGCUGCAGAAGCAAGCGAAAAGCCAGAUGAGCGCUUCUAAACUUAGAGAGAGGGAGAGCGCCUCAUCUCUUCCAUUUUCCAGGUAUUCCUGAGAUGAUUUAUUGGAGCUCAAAGCUUUGGGCAAAUGCGGGGUGGCUGAUCACCUGGCAGACAUCUUAGGAAACAGGAGCACCGGUCUGGGAAACUGCUGGCCUGGCCUAACACCUGGCGCUGUGGUGCAGGCAAGAGGGCAGCCACUGAGGAUUCUUGAGGAGAGAGAGACCAUAGAAUGAAUGAAAGAGUUGGAAAGACUUUAAAGCUCUGGGAGGCUGAAUCCUUUAUUUCGCUGGAAGAAAAACUGAAUGCCAAGAGGGCCUCACUUUCCCCAAAGCUAUACAGCCAUCAGGGGCAAUGCUGGGAUUCCCCCAUGGAUCUCUUGACUCCUAAUACAGUGCUCUUUCUGAUAUGCCAUCUGGCUCCAUAAUGAACAUUGUGUUCCAGGAAAAUCAGUCUGCGCUGAACAGGAUGGAAUUGGGGCAGGACGUCCAGUGAGGAGGACAUUGAGGCAGUAGAGCAG